AUGAUCCUCCUGUCUCAGCCUCCUGAGUGCUGGGAUUACAGUCAUGCAUCGCUAUGCCUUGCUCUGCCCAAAGGUUCCUGUCUUGUUUGGUCUCUGGCAUAUCCACAUUUAUGCCCCUACACUUUCAUGACUUCUGUGUUUCUCCCUGUGAGCACUGCUGCCAACAGGUAUGCUUUCUUUUUGAGCCUUUUAUCAGUUCCCUGUUUGGCCUCCUGGUUCCAAAUUUACCACCCUAUGUACAUGCCCAAUUGCACAACUAUUAAUUGUCUCUUUGGCUGGCCACCCAAUAUCAAAGGAAGGCAAAUCAACAAUAUAAGGAAUUUUAAAAAAUGUUAGUGACCACACAUAGACUUAUUACCCCAUACAGG
rnacentral:lncRNA from 1 species